GUAGGGAAUAUUGGGCAAUGGAUGCAAGUCUGACCCAGCCAUCCCGCGUGCCGGAAGAAGGCCCUCAGGGUUGUAAACGGCUUUUGACGGUGAAGAAUCGACAGGAUGCGUCCUGUUUUGACGGUAGCCGUUGAAUAAGCACCGGCUAACUCCGUGCCAGCAGCCGCGGUAAUACGGAGGGUGCGAGCGUUGUCAGGAUUUAGUGGGUUUAAAGGGUGCGUAGGCUGGAAGGGCAGUAAGCGGUGAAAAGCGUGCUCUUAACGAUAGUCUUGCCGCAGAUACUUCCUUUCUUGGAUGAGGAGGAGGCCACUGGAACGGAUGGUGUAGCGGUGAAAUGCAUAGAUAUCAUCCAGAACACCGAUUGCGAAGGCAGGUGGCUGUACCUUAAUCGACGCUGAUGCACGAAAGCAUGGGGAGCAAACAGGAUUAGAAACCCUGGUAGUCC
rnacentral:rRNA from 1 species